GCAAUCAGCUGAAGCCGAAAGGGACAACAACAACUUCAAAGCAACAUAUCUCUGCAUUUUGAAAUCACCGAUCAUCACUGUGGAUUCGUGUUUAUCUGCCAGCUUCACGUUUGUAUCUUCUUCGUAGUGCCGCGUUCGGAAUCAAGGCGUUUCAACAUACCUCACGGCGAAGCAACGCUGGAUGAACACAACAAAUUCAAGACCUAAAUGCGAGUUCAACCUUCAACUGUGAAAUCAUCCUCCAAUCAUGACAAUUCAAACGCACAUAAACUUGAGAUGAAAACAGAAAAAAGACGACGAAUACUCACCGGAUCGAAACAGAAUGAAUGACUGGUCAGUAAUGCAUUAUAUUACACUAUGAAGUGAUGAUAACAAGGCUGCAACAUAAAUAUCUUCUUACUUGGACGGGUUGCAAGUUGAUGUCUACGACAUGUGGCAUCUGGUGCAAUGUUGGUGUCUACUGCAGGGGAGCUUGUUUUGCUAGGUCUAUGUUCCUUAAUCAAGUAUGCCAUGAAGUUGGACAAAAGUCCAUGGCAUCAAAGUUAGAAUUUGAAGUAUCCGUCUACAAAUGGUCAACCAAAGAUCAAGAAUCAAGGAUUGAAGAUUGGAUUAGAAUUAGGAUGGAAAAAGGGAUUGGGUUGACUUUGAUCAAAUUUGACCAAAAAGUCAACUGUUGACAAAAGUCAACAUUUUGUCAACACAUUUUUUUGGUAUUUUUCUCAUGUAAUGAAAAUUUAUAAUUGAUUAUAAUGAUGGAAUUUACAUUUGAAUAAAAUUGGAUUGAUAUUUGAA